rnacentral:rRNA from 1 species
GACGAACGCUGGCGGCGUGCUUAACACAUGCAAGUCGAACGGACCUUCGGGUUAGUGGCGAACGGGUGAGUAACACGUGGGUGAUCUGCCCUGCACUUUGGGAUAAGCCUGGGAAACUGGGUCUAAUACCGGAUAGGACCACGCAUUUUAUGGUGUGUGGUGGAAAGCUUUUGCGGUGUGGGAUGGGCCCGCGGCCUAUCAGCUUGUUGGUGGGGUAAUGGCCUACCAAGGCGACGACGGGUAGCCGGCCUGAGAGGGUGACCGGCCACACUGGGACUGAGAUACGGCCCAGACUCCUACGGGAGGCAGCAGUGGGGAAUAUUGCACAAUGGGCGCAAGCCUGAUGCAGCGACGCCGCGUGAGGGAUGACGGCCUUCGGGUUGUAAACCUCUUUCGCCAGGGACGAAGCGCAAGUGACGGUACCUGGAGAAGAAGGACCGGCCAACUACGUGCCAGCCGCCGCCGUAA